CCUACAUGAAGCUGGAGUUACUAGUAAUCGCAGAUCAGAAUGCUGCGGUGAAUGCGUUCCCGGGUCUUGUACACACCGCCCGUCACACCACGGGAGUUGGAGACGCCCGAAGCCGAUUAUCUAACCUGUUGG
rnacentral:rRNA from 1 species